UCUCUCAUGAGAAUGGUGAAUGACUCUUCCUGCUUCCUUGGGCUUAGUGGUCUUCUGUUAGUUCUUGGAAGCCUGGAAAUUGCUGGAGACAUGAGAAGUGAGAAUGGUGAUCCCUGCAAGGCAAAGAGUCUCUUGAAGUUUUUGAGGGGAACCGGACAAGGUUAAGAUUGAGAUGGAGAGGAGAGAAAGUCUGGAUCAAACACCCCACAAAAGCAUGGGUGAGAAACUGAUGAGCGUGGAUGUAGAAAUAGAGAAGACGGAGAAGAAACAACAAACUGCACAAUUCAUUUCUUUCUGUUGUCUGAAGUGGGAAACUCAGGAAUGGACACGGAGAAAGCUGUGGACUGCAAGAAUGGUAACACCAUGAGGGGAGCAUAAGUAUACAACUGCAACCAAAAUCGUAUCUCAAUUGUGGGUGUCAAGAGACAGUUUGGGAAACUCAAAUUUCUUCUCCCUCAUACACAGAACAUCUCGACUACACAGAAAAGUUAUGAUUUUUCAAGAA